AUACACUCCACAACAGAAUGGAGUAAGUGAAAGAAAGAAUAGAGUGAUAAUGGAGAUGACAAGAUGUCUGCUACAUGAAAUGGAUUUGCCAAAGAAAUUCUGGGCAGAGGCUGCAAGUACUGCAGUUUUUUUACUCAAUAGGCUUUCUACUAAAGCUUUGAAGAAUAAAACUCCUUUCGAGGCUUGGUUUGGCUAUAAACCAUUUCUGUUAAACUUAAAAAUAUUUGGAUGCCUAUGUUUUUCUUAUGUGCCUCAGGUGAAAAGGGAUAAGCUUGAUAGAAAGGCUGAAGCAGGAAUCUUUGUAGGCUAUAGCAACACAUCAAAAGCUUACAGAGUUUAUCUACCUCAAGCAGAUAAAGUCAUAACCAGCAGAGAUGUGAGGUUUCUGGAAGAUGAAAAAUGGAGUUGGAAUGAUGCUGAAAAAAAUAAAAUUCCAAAAAAAAUUCAAGAGAUUGAUGAUGCCUUAGAAUUUUUUGAUGAUGCCUUUGAUGAUGAACCAGUAAGGGGCACAAGAUCACUUGAAGACAUUUAUCACAGGUGCAAUGUGGCUAUCAUGGAACCAGAAAAAUUUGCAGAUGCUGUUUUAGAUGAGAAAUGGGUUUCAGCAAUGGAGGAGGAGCUGAGAAUGAUUGAGAAAAAUGAUACAUGGGAGCUUGUAGAUAGACCAACACAUAAGAAGGCCAUUGGAGUGAAAUGGGUUUAUCGAACAAAGCUGAAUUCUGAUGGAUCUGUUAAUAAACAUAAAGCAAGACUGGUGGUCAAAGGUUAUGCUCAAAUGUUCGGAGUUGAUUUCUCUGAAACAUUUGCUCCUGUAGCACGUCUUGAUACAAUUCGAAUGCUAUUAGCCAUAGUUGCACAAAAAGGAUGGAAGGUUCAUCAACUUGACGUAAAAUCGGUGUUUUUAAACGGUUACUUGGAAGAAGAAAUUUUUGUAGAACAGCCCGAAGGUUUUCUGGUUAAAGGAUAUGAAGAUAAAGUAUAUCGUUUGAAAAAAGCCUUAUAUGGUUUGAAGCAAGCCCCUAGGGCAUGGUACAGCCGAAUCGAUUCCCAUCUUCUAAGCUUAGGCUUUGAGAAAAGCUUGAGUGAAUUUACUCUCUAUGUUAAGAAAAUAGAAAUAGAUAUACUCAUAAUAUCUUUGUAUGUAGAUGAUCUGUUAAUAACAGGUAGCGAUGGAAGGAUGAUAAAUCAAUUCAAGACAGAGAUGAUGGAGGUGUUUGAAAUGACAGACCUUGGAGAAAUGUCUUUUUUCCUUGGAAUUGAAGUGCAUCAAAAAAAGAAUGAAGUUUUUAUUUGUCAACAAAAAUAUGCCAAGGAGAUUCUAAAAAAGUUCAAGAUGGAGAAUUGCAAGUCAACUACAACCCCAAUGAAUUUGAAGGAGAAAUUCUGCAAAGAAGAUGGAACAAAAAAGGUAGAUGAGGUGCUAUACAGGAGUUUAAUAGGUUGCCUAAUGUAUCUAACUGCAACCCGACCCGAUAUCGUGCAUGCUGUAAGUUUACUAUCAAGAUAUAUGCAUUGUGCCAGUGAGACUCAUUUUCAAGCAGCAAAAUGCAUAAUCAGAUAUAUUAAAGGCACAAUAAACCAUGGUAUUAAGUUCAGUCAUGUUCAGAAUUUUAAUUUUCAUGGUUUUUCCGAUAGUGAUUGGGCCGGUUGUUUAGAUGAUAUGAAGAGCACCUCCGGUUACUGUUUCAGUUUUGGUUCUGGCAUAUUUUCCUGGUGUUCCAAGAAGCAAGAUGUGAUAGCCCAAUCCACAGCUGAAGCAGAGUAUGUUGCAGCCACUUUAGCAGUUAAUCAAGCUUUGUGGAUAAGAAAACUGUUAGCUGACUUGUCUAUGGAAGAAAAAGGAAGUACACAGGUUUAUGUCGACAACCAGGCUGCAAUCUCAAUUGCAAAUAAUCCAGUUUUUCAUGGAAAAACUAAGCACUUCAAGAUUAAAUUGUAUUUCCUUAGAGAAGUUCAAAAGAAUGGUGAAGUAAGUUUGGUGCACUGCAAUUCAGAAUUUCAGAAUGCUGAUAUUUUGACCAAAUCUCUCUCCAAGGCUAGAUUUGAAUAUUUAAGAGAAAGACUUGGAGUUUGCUGCUCCUAAGCCAAGGAGGAGAUUUUGUUGAGUGUUGACUUAGUAGCUAUGUUGAAGGCCGUUCAGAUAUUUCUUUUGUUAUUUUGUUGCUAUUUUUAAGGAAUAAUCUGGUAUGCUUAUCAUAUCAGAUAUGCAUAACAAGUUUGCUUAUUUUGCUCAAGUUUUCUGUUAUUUUAGAGUCUAUAAAUACCUUUGUAAUGGUGUUUCAAAAAAUAAUAAGAAGCCUUCACAUGUUUAUAACUUCUCUUGUUAAACAUCUUUUUCAAUUAUUCUUAGUUUCUGAUACAUAUAUCUUACAAAGUGGUAUCAGAGCUAACAUCUUAUAGGACCUGUGAAAUUGAGUGAACCUAAAUCAAACCCAAACACCAACCCGUGAGAUGGAGGGAGAGUCUAGUAAUGGCACAAUUACUCCUCCAAUAUUUGAUGGAGUUAAUUACAAAGUUUGGGCAGUUAGGAUGGAAAUUCACCUCAAGGCUUAUGAUCUGUGGGAGGCUGUGGAACAAGAUUAUGAAGUUCCAGCACUUGGAGAUAACCCAACAAUGGUUCAGAUCAAAACUCAUAAAGAGAAGGUGACAAGAAAAGCAAAAGCUAUGAAUUGUUUGUUCUCUGCUGUUUCACCCUCGAUUCUUAGCAGAAUUAUGCAAAAGAAAUCUGCUGCAGAAAUUUGGAAAUAUCUUGAAAAGGAGUAUAAAGGAAAUGCAAAGUUAGAUAAUAUGCAAGUCAUGAAUUUGUUUCGUGAAUUUGAAACACAAAGGAUGAAAGAAUCAGAAACUGCAAAAGAGUAUGCCGAUAGACUUCUUGACAUUGCAAAUAAAGUGAGACUUUUUGGCAAAGAAUUUUCUGAUGAACGAAUUAUUCAGAAAAUUCUAGUCACGUUACCGGAAAAGUAUGAAGCAACGAUCUCAUCUUUGGAGAAUUCUAAAGAUCUGUCAAGUAUUACCUUGGCAGAACUUUUAAAUCCUUUACAAGCUCUGGAGCAAAGAAGGCUUAUGAGGAAUGAAGCUUCUGUUGAAGGUGCUUAUCAAGCAAGUUCUCAAAUUAAAGAAGGGAAAUCGACACAGAGGACAAGAAAUGCCAAAAAUCAUCCACCGUGUCCUCAUUGUAAAAAAACAAAUCAUCCUCAACAAAGGUGUUGGUGGAGACCAGAUAUUAAAUGCCAUAAAUGUGGCCAGUUGGGGCACAUCGAAAGAGUAUGCAAAGGACAGCAGCAAGAAGAGGUUGAGGCUAAGGCUGUUGUUGAUGAAAAUCAGGAGGAGCACUUAUUUGUGGCAUCAUGUGUUGCUACAGACAAUUCUGAAGGAUGGCUUAUAGACAGCGGCUGCACCAAUCAUAUGACCUAUGAUCGGGAGUUAUUUAAAGAGCUUGACACAACCGUCAUCACCAAAGUCAGAAUUGGAAAUGGUGAACGUAUUGCUGCCAGGGGUAAAGGAAUUGUGUCCAUAGAUAGCCUAUCAGGUCAGAAACUUAUUUCUGAAGUUUUAUUUGUUCCUGAUAUUGAUCGAAACUUGUUGAGUGUCGGGCAGCUGCUAGAAAAAGAUUAUGAAGUGCUAUUCAGAAACAAAUGCUGUAUAAUCAUCGACCCUGAAGGAAAGGAGGUGUUCAGAAUCAAGAUGAAAGGCAAAAGUUUUGUUCUUGAUAUACUGGAACAAGAACAAACUUUUGUUGCACAAAGAGACAGCAGUACCACACUUUGGCAUAAACGAUUGGGGCACUUUCAUCAUGAUGCAGUGCUCUUUAUGAAGAAGAAUCAAAUGGUAAAAGGCUUACCAGACUUGGAGAAAGAUUUACCGAUGUGUGCAGCUUGUCAAUAUGGAAAGCAAACCAGAUUGCCUUUUCCAAAAAAAACAGAAUGGAGAGCAACUCAUAAGCUAGAACUUGUACAUACAGAUGUUGGAGGCCCGCUGAAAGUAUCAUCCUUGAAUGGUAGUAAGUAUUAUAUUAUAUUCAUAGAUGAUUGUACAAGAUUCUGUUGGAUAUAUUUUCUUAAAUCCAAAACUGAGGUUGCUGGUAUUUUUUGGGAGUUCAAAACAUGGGUUGAAAAUCAAAGUGGAUGUGAGUUACAUGUCAUACGAUCUGAUAAUGGUACAGAAUACACAUCUGAUAAAUUCAACAGAUUUUGUAAAGAUGCAGGAAUUGAACACCAAUUGACGGCACCAUACACUCCACAACAGAAUGGA
rnacentral:misc_RNA from 1 species